rnacentral:rRNA from 1 species
GACGAACGCUGGCGGCGUGCUUAACACAUGCAAGUCGAACGGAAAGGCCCCUUUGGGGGUACUCGAGUGGCGAACGGGUGAGUAACACGUGAGUAACCUGCCCUUGACUUCGGGAUAACUUCAGGAAACUGGGGCUAAUACCGGAUAGGAAUCCUUGCUGCAUGGUGGGGGUUGGAAAGCUUCGGCGGUUUUGGAUGGACUCGCGGCUUAUCAGCUUGGUGGUGGGGUAGUGGCUUACCAAGGGUUUGACGGGUAGCCGGCCUGAGAGGGCGACCGGCCACAUUGGGACUGAGAUACGGCCCAGACUCCUACGGGAGGCAGCAGUGGGGAAUAUUGCACAAUGGGCGGAAGCCUGAUGCAGCAACGCCGCGUGCGGGAUGACGGCCUUCGGGUUAUAAACCGCUUUCAGCAGGGGCGAAGCUUGUGGUGACGGUACCUGCAGAAGAAGCACCGGCUAACUACGUG